rnacentral:sRNA from 1 species
AGCUGGCUGGGCGGUUAGGAGGGUCCGGGGCCGAGACGAUGGCUGACGACAACCCUGACAGCGACUCCACGCCGCGCACGCUGCUGCGACGCGUGCUGGAUACAGCGGACCCGCGCACCCCGCGGCGACCCCGGAGUGCUCGGGCUGGAGCCCGGAGAGCCCUGCUUGAAACGGCUUCCUCCAGGAGGUUGAGUGGCCAAACAAGGACGAUAGCCAGAGGGCGUUCCCAUGGAGCCAGGUCUAUUGGCAGAUCGGCCCAUAUUCAGGCCAGUGGGCACUUGGAGGAACAGACACCUCGGACGCUGCUGAAGAACAUCCUACUAACUGCCCCAGAAUCUUCCAUCCUGAUGCCUGAGUCGGUAGUGAAGCCAGUGCCAGCACGGCAGGUGGUCCAACCCUCCAGACAAGAGAGCAGUUGCGGCAGCCUGGAGCUGCAACUUCCUGAGCUCGAGCCCCCCACAACCCUGGCUCCAGGUCUGCUGGCCCCUGGCAGGAGGAAACAGAGGCUGAGACUGUCAAUGUUUCAGCAGGGAGUGGACCAGGGGUUGUCUCUCUCCCAAGAGCCUCAAGGGAAUGCUGAUGCCUCUUCCCUCACCAGAUCCCUCAACCUGACCUUUGCCACACCUCUUCAGCCACAGUCAGUGCAGAGGCCUGGCUUGGCCCGCAGACCUCCAGCCCGCCGAGCUGUAGACGUGGGUGCCUUUUUGCGGGAUCUGCGAGAUACUUCCCUGGCUCCUCCAAACAUUGUGUUGGAGGACACCCAGCCGUUCUCUCAGCCCAUGGUUGGCUCCCCCCAUGUGUAUCACUCCCUGCCCUGCACGCCUCACACUGGGGCUGAAGACGCUGAGCAGGCUGCCGGUCGCAAGACACAGAGCAGUGGGCCUGGGCUGCAGAAGAAUAGUGAGUGUGUGGCACUGGUGGCCUGGAGCCAAAUUUAGCUUGGGUGAGAGUUGACAAUGGUAGUUUUCCUUCCUCAAGCCCCUCUGUGCCCCUAGAGCACCCUGGCUGUGGCUGCCUCCUUCAUCCAAGAGCAGAGUCCAUGUUGGGCCAGGAGACUUCAGAUCCAUGUCCUGGUGCUGCCUCUGGCUUUGUCUUUCCUCAGUGGGCAGGACUGGGUCUGCUAGUCCAUCUUUACCCUUCUCUGAGCUAUGCAGCCUUGGCCUGCUGCGUCUCCAGCCUGUAUUCUCUCCCCUUCACUCAGGCCCUGGGAAACCAGCCCAGUUUCUGGCAGGAGAGGCAGAGGAGGGCGAUGCCUUUGCUCUGGGCUUCCUGAGCACCAGCAGUGGUGUCUCUGGAGAAGAUGAAGUAGAGCCCUUACACGGUGGAGUUGAAGAGGCAGAGAAAAAGAUGGAAGAAGAAGGUGUGAGUAUGAGUGAAAUGGAGGCAACAGGAGCACAAGGACCCAGCAGGGUAGAAGAGGCCGAGGGACACACAGAGGUGACAGAAGCAGAGGGAUCCCAGGGGACUGCUGAGGCUGACGGGCCAGGAGCAUCUUCAGGGGAUGAGGAUGCCUCUGGCAGGGCAGCAAGUCCAGAGUCGGCCUCCAGCACCCCUGAGUCUCUCCAGGCCAGGCGACAUCAUCAGUUUAUUGAGCCAGCCCCAGCGCCUGGUGCUGCAGUCUUAUCUUCAGAGCCUGCAGAGCCUCUGUUGGUCAGGCAUCCCCCUAGGCCCCGGACCACCGGCCCCAGGCCCCGGCAAGAUCCCCACAAGGCUGGACUGAGCCACUAUGUGAAACUCUUUAGCUUCUAUGCCAAGAUGCCCAUGGAGAGGAAGGCUCUUGAGAUGGUGGAGAAGUGCCUAGAUAAAUAUUUCCAGCAUCUUUGUGAUGAUCUGGAGGUAUUUGCUGCUCAUGCUGGCCGCAAGACUGUGAAGCCAGAGGACCUGGAGCUGCUGAUGCGGCGGCAGGGCCUGGUCACUGACCAAGUCUCACUGCACGUGCUAGUGGAGCGGCACCUGCCCCUGGAGUACCGGCAGCUGCUCAUCCCCUGCGCAUACAGUGGCAACUCUGUCUUCCCUGCCCAGUAGUGGCCAGGCUUCAACACUUUCCCUGUCCCCACCUGGGGCCUCUUGCCCCCACAUAUUUCUCCAGGUCUCCUCCCCACCCCCCCAGCAUCAAUAAAGUGUCAUAAACAG